AGAGUUUGAUCAUGGCUCAGGACGAACGCUGGCGGCGCGCUUAACACAUGCAAGUCGAGCGAGAACCAUUCCUUCGGGAAUGGGGACAGCGGCGAACGGGUGAGUAACACGUGGGUAAUCUGCCCUCGAUUCUGGGAUAGCCCGGGGAAACCCGGAUUAAUACCGGAUAGCCUCUCGAGCUUUCGAGCUCUUGAGAAAAGGUAGCUUCGGCCUCCGAUCGAGGAUGAGCCCGCGGCGGAUUAGCUUGUUGGUGGGGUAAUGGCCUACCAAGGCGACGAUCCGUAGCUGGUCUGAGAGGACGAUCAGCCACACUGGGACUGAGACACGGCCCAGACUCCUACGGGAGGCAGCAGUGGGGAAUCUUGCGCAAUGGGCGAAAGCCUGACGCAGCGACGCCGCGUGGGGGAAGAAGGCCUUCGGGUUGUAAACCUCUUUCAGCAGGGACGAAGCCACUCGGGUUAAUAGCCCAGAGGGUGACGGUACCUGCAGAAGAAGCCCCGGCUAACUACGUGCCAGCAGCCGCGGUA
rnacentral:rRNA from 1 species